rnacentral:pre_miRNA from 1 species
UGAUGAUGAUGAUGAUGAUGAUGGUGGUGGUGGUGGUGGUGGUGGUGGUGGUGGUAAUAAUCACAAUCGCCGUCAUCAUAAUCAUCAGCCUACUCA